GACGAACGCUGGCGGCGUGCUUAACACAUGCAAGUCGAGCGGUAAGGCCCUUUCGGGGGUACACGAGCGGCGAACGGGUGAGUAACACGUGGGUGACCUGCCCUCAGCUCUGGGAUAAGCCUGGGAAACCGGGUCUAAUACCGGAUAUGACUCCAUGACGCAUGUUGUGGGGUGGAAAGCCUUGUGCGGCUGAGGAUGGGCCCGCGGCCUAUCAGCUUGUUGGUGGGGUGAUGGCCUACCAAGGCGACGACGGGUAGCCGGCCUGAGAGGGCGACCGGCCACACUGGGACUGAGACACGGCCCAGACUCCUACGGGAGGCAGCAGUAAGGAAUAUUGGUCAAUGGACGCAAGUCUGAACCAGCCAUGCCGCGUGGAGGAUGAAGGUCCUCUGGAUUGUAAACUUCUUUUAUAUAGGGAACGAAAAAGGAUCUUUCUAGAUCACCUGACGGUACCAUAUGAAUAAGCACCGG
rnacentral:rRNA from 1 species